GAUGAAGAACGUAGCGAAAUGCGAUAAGUAGUGUGAAUUGCAGAAUUCAGUGAAUCAUCGAAUCUUUGAACGCACAUUGCGCCCCUUGGUAUUCCAUGGGGCAUGCCUGUUCGAGCGUCAUUUGUACCUUCAAGCUUUGCUUGGUGUUGGGUGUUUGUCUCGCCUUUGCGUGUAGACUCGCCUUAAAAUAAUUGGCAGCCGGCGUAUUGAUUUCGGAGCGCAGUACAUCUCGCGCUUUGCACUCAUAACCACAGCGUCCAAAAGUACAUUUUACACUCUUGACCUCGGAUCAGGUAGGGAUACCCGCUGAACUUAAGCAUAUCAAUAAGCGGAGGA
rnacentral:misc_RNA from 1 species